UGAUCUUCCUGUUGUCGGGGAAUUUACUAUCCCUAUUUCUAGUAAGGGCGAAAUCAAGCUUCCUACUUUUAAAGAUUUCUUCUGAUCUACUUAAACCUAUAAGACCACAUCGUUCGUUGUGAUGGUGAUGAUCAUAAUGUAAUAAUAAGUUGGGUUAUUAUCAAAAAAAAAAAAUAAGUUGGGUUUGCCUAUAAUUAAUAAAAAUGUUAUUUUGUCAUAUGAUCAUGUUAUUAAAAAAAUGUUUGGAGGACAAAUCAGUUUGCAAUUUCAGUAAUGGUUUUUU
rnacentral:lncRNA from 1 species